CCCUUAGAUGUUCUGGGCCGCACACGCGCUACACUGAAGGAGGCAGCGUGUACUCCUGGAUCGAAAGAUUUGGGUAACCCGCGAAUCUCCUUCUUGCUAGGGAUUGAGGUUUGCAAUUAUCCUUCAUGAACGAGGAAUUCCCAGUAAGUGCAAGUCAUAAGCUUGCGCUGACUACGUCCCUGCCCUUUGUACACACCGCCCGUCGCUACUACCGAUUGAAUGAUUUAGUGAGGACUUCGGACUGGGACCGAUGCGGCUUUCGGGCUGCGUCGGUAUUCUGGAAAGAUGUCCAAACUGUAUCAUUUAGAGGAAGUAAAAGUCGUAACA
rnacentral:rRNA from 1 species